UCCUCACGCUGCCUGGAAAGCACUUUAUGG
rnacentral:piRNA from 1 species